UCCGCUCACCACUGGUGAUGGGUCCUCACUGCCAACGAGGGGGGUAACCUGAAUCUAACACCCCACAGGGCAGUGAGAGAGGAGCUCUCGACCAUCACCCCACAGAAGCACUGAUCUGGACGUCGACCACACACGUACCUCGUGGACGUUGGGGAGUCAAGCGUGGAAGUCCCAGCACUCUGCUGCAUCAUGAAACCCAAGGGUAACUAGACAGAAGAGAGUCAGGGCGAUUUUACUUUACCCGUGUCACCCUCUCCCGAGGUGACGCAGCUCAGUGCCGAGAAAGGUCCCUCAGCCCUUGGUUCCUCCCAUGGGGGAGGUGAGCACAAUGAGUGAGCGUCCAGCUCCUUCCUUCCUACAGGACACUGACCAGGAGGCCCCUCUACUCUCGCCCCACCGAGUGCUGAGCGGUCAGCAUGGCUGAGUGUUGGGAGGGCUGGGGGCAGGAAACAGAGGCUGCAGAAUCUGUCAGCCAUGCCGUGGACGCCAUCAGGAUGCCCAUUCGUUAGCCACUUGGGGGACCGUGUAUGGACCACCACCACCCACCAGCUGGCCUCUGGGCACUCCAGACACUCCACACAUCUCACCACACCUCCAGGCUGGCUCCCCACGUGCAUCACAUGGACAGUGAGCACAAAUGUCAUAUACAGACAGCUCGACUCCAUGGGAUCGGAAAAGUCACACAACUUGAGUUCAGGCCAUUGCCCUACAGAAAACAAAUGUUAGCUCUCAGUACUUGGCCUGGCUUUGCAGGAUCAAGAGAAAACAUAGACGAGUCCCCCCACACCACCAUCUUGUAUCCAGGAGAUACAAGAGGUGUGGAACUGACGUGUCUACAGAAAAAAGUCUGAGGGAGCUUAACAAUCCCUAGCUCGGUGGUUCUGUGAAGUUGUUUUUCUGAUGAAGACAUCAGUAAAAACUGGAGAAGAUGACUGCUUCUUCAAAUGCAAAAACAUCAAUAAAUCAAUGUAAGACUUCAAGGAAAAUUAAAAAUCAAGGAAACACAACACUAUCAAAGAAACACGAUAAUAUCUCAUUACUAACUCCAAAGAAAUGAAGAUGCAACAGCCUGCAAGUGAGCAGACACUCUCCUCACAGGAAGGGGUUAGCUGCCCGAAGUGAGCACACGCGCCCUAUAGCAAAAACCUCUCAAAAAAAAGAAAGAAAGAAAGAAGAAGAAGAAAUUCUGCUGCAGUAGAAUACAAUGAACGAAAUGAAAAUUUAAACGAAGUUCAUCCACAGCGGAGAUUUACAUACCAUCUGAUGACUAUCAAAUAUACUGGUGGAGGCCUCUUCAUCUGCAUCAACACUCCAGCAAGACUUGUCUUCUCGUCAUUGUACAUGCAGUACACUUCCCUCCAUGUUAUGAGGGGAUUCAAGGGAGCAUCAGAACAUACUCCAUUAAAAAAGAGCUCCAUGAAAGGAGGGAUUUGCUCAUGGCUUACUCUAGUGCCGG